UACGGAGGGUGCGAGCGUUGUCCGGAAUCACUGGGCGUAAAGGGCGCGUAGGUGGCGCAGGAAGUCAACGGUGAAAGUUCGGGGCUCAACCCUGAAUCGGCCGUCGAUACUCCUGGGCUCGAGCACUGUAGAGGCAGAUGGAAUUCCGGGGUGUAGCGGUGGAAUGCGUAGAGAUCCGGAAGAACACCGGUGGCGAAGGCGGUCUGCUGGGCA
rnacentral:rRNA from 1 species